rnacentral:lncRNA from 1 species
UCGAUAAAUGAUAUAAAAUAAUGUUCUAAUAGAACCAAAUAAUCUCUCUACCUGCAUACCUCUCCAUCCCCUGUUUUUCUUUUUCUUUUUACAUUUUUUCUUCUUUGUUUUUGGCACUUGAAAUAGGAGAUUAUGUAAUAGUUAAAGGGUAAUUUUUAUAUUUUACCUUUCAACUUUUAUCCAUAUUUUACUUUUGUCUCUCAUAUUUUAAUUGACAUAUUAAACCUUAAACUUUGGAUCGAUUGCAAUGUGGAUCAUCCGUCCAUAUUCGUUAAUAUUUGUAAACAAAAAUAAUAUGUACCACACACAUGACCAUAUGGGAGUUUCGGAUUAGUAUAAACAUAUGUUACAUAUGAUACUUUUUGCCUUCAGUGAAUUUGUUUACUAUUUAAUCAAAAUCUAAUAUUUUUUAUUUCUUCUUUACGAGAGGAGUCCCAAAAUAUAAAAAAUUAUCUAAUUUGAAUAAAAUUUCACUAUAGACGAAAAAAAAUUAUCUAAAAAAAUUGAAUUUUUUUUCCUUUGAAUAGAUAAUUGUACAUGGUUAUUUCCGUCCACAGAUUCUAACGGAUAUGGACGGAUAAUCCAUAUUGACAACUCUUUCUGAAGUUCAAAGUUAAAUAUGUUCAAAUUGAAACGUGAAUGACAAAAGUGAAAUAUGAGUGAAAGUUGAAGGGUAUAAAAUAAAAAUUACUCAUAAUUAAAUUAACAAAUUGCUUGGGGUUGUCUGUUCGUCUAGACCUACGACUUAGAGGAGUGCUCCAUUUCUCAGGGUCUCCAGUUGGAAACCUCUUAGGAGCUAUCUAUUUUUGAGUUGGUCAGUUUCGAAUUUAAUUGAGUCGCCCGCUAGUGGACGGUAGAAUUAGUCACUCGGAUUAAUUGGUCCUUAGGCCCGAUAUCGAAUUAUCAAAAAGAUAACAAUUAAACUGUACAAUUAAAUCAUCAAUAUAUAAUUUUGGCGAGAAUUGACUCUUCUAACUAUCCAUUUAGAAGUAUACAAUGACGAUAAAUUGAGCUAACCUAACUGAUUAUCCAUGUGUUUGAUGCAGUUUCCAAAAAAAACUUCAUAAGUUAAGCUAUGUGGCACCUCUAGAUUAGGCCUCCUCCUGAUUUAAACGAUCAGAUGUGCAAAAGUUUGAUAAGAUCUUUUUGUUCCGCCGAAAAUCGAUUCACACCAGUCACACACUUACAGAUUACACACUCACACAGAUACAAUGAUUUACGAGGGUCGACAAGAUUGUCUACAUCCUUGGAUGGAGGCGUUUCACUAUUAUAGAAAAACAGAUACAACUCUAAACUUUCCUCUCUCAACCAAAAACACAGAGUUCAAGAGAAAAGAAAACAAAACAGAUUUUCUAUACUACAAUUCUGAUCUCAUAAUCCUAUAUCUGGGACUUUCAGUCCUUUUUUUAGGUUGAGUGAUUGAAUUCAAAUCCAACUUGGAUUGAAAUUUUAUUAAUGGAUUUGAGUUUAAUUUGGAUUGGAUCCGAUUCAUUGAUAGGCCUACACUGAGCAUUUCCAUUAUAAUUAGGAAAAAAAUACCAAAAACCUCGUGCAUUUCCAUUAUAAUUUGUAAAGGAUUUGGAUGGAGGGACCAUAUUACAAUUAAUUAAAAAUUAUAAGGUUAUAAUUGUUUAAAUUAAAACUGUAGAAAUCAAUAUGAAACUUUUUCAAAACUACAGGGACCAACAGUAAAAUUUAUCCGAAAUACAAUUAUUUUAUAUAAUCAGAAUUGACCCCUUGAUGUUUAGUUCAACAAGAGAGCUUCAAGUCGGUUUCCAGAAUCCACACUGUCAUUCAAUAUCUUCUUCAUAUCAUAUUUGUACUCGAAACCCAUUCCCCUCAACUUUCCAUUGUCACAGUUGCAUCCCCUGUCAGGUCCUCCAACGAGUCUAAAAUCAAUUCAUGUUGUUAGCUUUGCUGCAAAACUCUGAGCAAUAUGAUUUUGACAUCAACUAACACAA